rnacentral:rRNA from 1 species
GACGAACGCUGGCGGCGUGCCUAAUACAUGCAAGUAGAACGCUGAAGGAGGAGCUUGCUCUUCUGGAUGAGUUGCGAACGGGUGAGUAACGCGUAGGUAACCUGCCUGGUAGCGGGGGAUAACUAUUGGAAACGAUAGCUAAUACCGCAUAACAUUGACUAUUGCAUGAUAGUCAAUUGAAAGGUGCAAAUGCACCACUACCAGAUGGACCUGCGUUGUAUUAGCUAGUUGGUGGGGUAACGGCUCACCAAGGCGACGAUACAUAGUCGACCUGAGAGGGUGAUCGGCCACACUGGGACUGAGACACGGCCCAGACUCCUACGGGAGGCAGCAGUAGGGAAUCUUCGGCAAUGGACGGAAGUCUGACCGAGCAACGCCGCGUGAGUGAAGAAGGUUUUCGGAUCGUAAAGCUCUGUUGUAAGAGAAGAACGAGUGUGAGAGUGGAAAGUUCACACUGUGACGGUAUCUUACCAGAAAGGGACGGCUAACUACGUGCCAGCAGCCGCGGUAAUACGUAGGUCCCGAGCGUUGUCCGGAUUUAUUGGGCGUAAAGCGAGCGCAGGCGGUUAGAUAAGUCUGAAGUUAAAGGCUGUGGCUUAACCAUAGUACGCUUUGGAAACUGUUUAACUUGAGUGCAGAAGGGGAGAGUGGAAUUCCAUGUGUAGCGGUGAAAUGCGUAGAUAUAUGGAGGAACACCGGUGGCGAAAGCGGCUCUCUGGUCUGUAACUGACGCUGAGGCUCGAAAGCGUGGGGAGCAAACAGG